UCCCUGGAAAGUCCUUUCAGAGCUGCUCUUCUAAGAGACGGUUUGGAUUGAAGUUUAGGAUCCAAUUUGGUACUGAGAAGAGGCUUAUGCUAGGGAUUAAGGAUGAGGGUAGCUGCUCAGUGGGAGCUGCCACCCCUCCCAGAGAUCUGCUUCUACCUGGACAUUUUGACUUAGUCUGAAUCUAACUUCAGAGAUUUUAAUUGUGGUCACAAAUCAGGCAUGAAGAUGUUCUUAUGCUGAACCCCUUGGUAACAAGGGAAGCUGUAGCUGUCCUCUGGAGUGACUGGAGAAGGAAGAAGGCCUCCGGACUGGAGGGGUGCAGGGAGUGUUUUCAGUCUUGCUGCAAUGAUUGUGUUCCCAACUGUUCCUGCCGAUACAGAGAGUGUGAACAAAUUGCACUCAUAGGAGAAAAUCAAGCCCAGAGCACUUGUGUGUGCGUAACACUUCUUUAAUAGAAAAGCCUGAGAACUGUUUUCUUUUGAAUAUGUUCUGGGUAAGUUUAAUGUGGUCCUUUGUAAAGAAAACAAAAGUCUGGAAACCCAAAUCUCCAGGAGACUCUGCUCUAUUAGAUAAUUUGAAAAUCUUUAAUGAUCACACACAUAGAUCUGAGGGAUCUCAGGCACGCAGCUGUAGUUUCAGAGUUCUGGCUGUAUUUGCCAUCUGUCUGUAAGCAAGCAGAUCUUGGCUGGGUGUUCUGCUUCAUAUAGCUGAGUGUUAUUCGUUUUGCUCCUUGUUGCCUCCAGUCUGGGCUUUUCAAGAAGAUUAAUGGAACCUGAGAGAAAUAACCCAUUGCCCUUCUUAAGAAAGUGGUAUAACAUCAUGCUAGUUAUUAACUCAGAUCUAAUUGGUGUCUUAGUGUUUGCAGUUUUUUAAAUGGGUUGGAACUCCCAUUCAGCCUAAAAAUGGAGAAGUACUAUUCUGUUCAGUAGCAUCAGAAUUUCUUGCCUGUUAUAACCCUAAAACUAUGAAAACUGGUGAGAAGGCAGAAUAAAAAACUGUAUUGAUAUUCUGCUAGCUAGUAUGAUGCUCCUAGAAUCACAUCAAACUGUCAGAAAAAUAAGUGGCUAAUCACUGAGAAUCUCUCCUCCGUUCUCCUAUUUGCCAGUGGGCUAAAGGAAUGUAUGUUGUUUUGGGUAAUGGAAGAAGCUUUUGGUUUUCAUUACAGCCUGUAAACAUCUUGGGCUGAAAGCCUCAGGAGUGGUAUCAUGUCGUACCACAUGUUAUGUACGCUGCCCAGCAAGUUUUGAAACAGAUUUUUAUGAUGAUUGUGUUUACAGUAUUCAAUGAAAACAGGGAUGACUGGGCAAUGGGAUGCCAACCACUCCCUGCUCCUAAGCUGAAGAGCGUGGAUGGGGGUUGGUGUUGAGAUGUUUUAUUAAAGCACUGUGCUUAGCUUAAUUACCAUAACAUCAGUGGAAAGGUAGAAUAUUUCAAAAAUCUUGUUGACAUCAGUAGGUUUUAGUCAGGUCCUAGAUAUUAGUAUGGAACUAAUAACUACUAAGAAGGGCUAAUGCUGAUGAACUGCUGGCUGAAAAAUAAGGUAAUCAUUAAGGUAUACAAUUGUGUUUGAUUUUGCAGAUUUCAGGUCAAUUCCAUAGAGGAAAUAGGUGUAUGGGAGGCAACCUUGGGAGUGCAUGUGACUUAAAACUUCUGAAGGAAGGUGCUAGCAUGUGUUACACUAAAUUCUCAGUGAUGCAAGCCUGUAUGUGAGCAGUGGGGACAAUCGGUGGAUUUGAUUCCAAAUUGCACAUUUACUCUGAACAAAUGCUGAAAUGGAUGCAGUGUUUGGUUCUCCCAAAUGCAGACUAUGGUGCAUAGACCAAAGCUUGUUGGUGGAUGUAUUGGGCUUUACAUUCUGGAGACCAGACUAUAGCUGAUAAUACCUCUCUGGUUUUACUGGCCAAAGUGCAUCAAAUGUCUUUUUUAUUAGUUCAUUGUGCUGAACAACGUCUCCCAGCUAACUGGAAACAUCUAUUAAUCAAACCAACUCCUUUCCCUGUGGGUUUUCAAAUUCCAUUGCAGUAAUUCCUGAAAGCCAUAAUUGCUGGGGAUUCAUUGUGCAGACCCACAAGGUGUCUUCCCUGUGUAAGGAACCUACACAACCAACACUCAGGUUGGUUUAUGCCAACAGUGAGUGAAUCCAUGGCAGAGCCCUGCCUGUGGUGUUGCUUUCUGUACCAGCCUUUGCACUGCUGGGGACAUGUUAUGCUUGGGGGUCCCUUUCUGUCAACCAGGGGAGAACUCUUCUGUCAUUUGGACAGAAGUUAAGAAACAGAGGAUGAUUGGUACUUAAGUGAUUCUUCCCCUUUCCAUCCUGCCCAUAUUUGUGGUUGAUUUUAGCAUGUUUAAAAUCAAUGCUUGGGCGCUAAAUGAACCUCCAGCACUUACAGCUAUGCAGGCUUUUAUGGGUUUAAAGAGCUUUCAGGAUUGCAUUAUCAGCUUUCUGUAUGAGUAGUCAGAGGGUUCAAACUCAAGUGUGGUGACUGUCCACAGGUCAGUGUGAAAUGAAGACAGAUGUGGUCAUAGUCCUUGCCUCAAGGUAUUCAUACUCUGAAACCAGUAAAGGAUCAGGGUUGUGGAACUUGUAUGAACCUAACACAGUGAGUCAGCAGCCUGGUUAGACUUAGACCUUGUAUUUUCUGCCUCUUGGCUCCACUAUCUUCACACCUGCCUAUGCUGUUCUCCUGUCUCUAAAAUCAGCAGAACUAAUCUUUUAAACUGCCUUUUUAAAGUACUAAGACUACCCCUUUUUCUUACACUUCAGUAGUGAGUAUUGACCAGGUUGUGAGUAGUGCUCAUCCGCUGUGCUUCUCUAUGAUUUUCAAUGUCUGUCCUUAGGACUCAGUUACCAGCUCCGUCUCCAUCCUUGAAUAAAGCCAUUGGCAAUGGCUA